ensembl:lncRNA
UGCAGAUCAGCUUCUUUAGCAUUUGAGAGCAGGUCAAUGCUGGGAAAUGCUCUUCUCAGACAGCCGCUUUUGUCUGUGAUUUUCCAGUGUUUUCCACUUUCUAGAUAUGAGCGGAGACAGCUAUAGGAACACCAAUUAAUUUAAAAGGGUUACUUAGACCCGGCUCCGUUCGGGAAGGCGGGGUUGGGAAGAGCUCAGGGUGGCAUUACAGCACCCUAGGAAGAAUAAAAGAAAGAAAGAAAGAAAGAAAGAAAGGAAAACAACGAAAAGAGAGUAAAACUCGAGGGGUUUCCACUAGAGAGCGGGUGCAGCUGCACCCAAGGCGGUAGAGCCCAGGAGCUUCAAGAGAGACGGGAAGGGGCGAGAGCCGUGUCCUUCCCGUCCCCCCCACCCCCCAAACUCUCCCCGCACCGAACUCUUUUCCGGGACGCGCGGCGCCGGCCCCGGUUCCCACACAGCGAUAUAGCGGUACAUCCCCAUCUCCAACCCCUCUCGAGCCGAGGAGGUGGUGCUGGGGAUGAGGUGCCCAGGCUGGGCCGGAGGUUGCUCCGGUCCGAUUCCCGACGCUGGGGCCGUGCUCGGAAUCCCUGCCGGAGUUGGUCGGGGGUCCCCGAUGUGUCACAGAACGGCUCAGAGAAGUGUCAUCCCCCUCUUGCUGGCAUCCUCAAAACAAGAGAAAACAAACCAACCAAACAAACAAACGGAAAAGACAAAAUAAAAAUAACAAAAAUAAAGAAACAACAACAAAAAAAAGAAAAACAGAAAACCAAACGGAAAAGAAAGGAAGAAAGGAAGAAAGGAAGGAAGGAAAGGAAGAAAGGAAAGGAAGAAAGAAAGAAAGGAAGAAAGGAAGGAAGAAAGGAAGGAAGAAAGGAAGGAAGGAAGGAAGAAAGGAAGGAAGAAAGGAAGAAAGGAAGGAAGGAAGGAAGGAAGAGGAAGGAAGAGGAAGGAAGGAAGGAAGGAAGGAAGAGGAAGGAAGGAAGGAAGGAAGGAAGGAAGGAAGGAAGGAAGGAAGGAAGGAAGGAAGGAAGGAAGGAAGGAAGGAAGGAAGGAAGGAAGGAAGGAAGGAAGGAAGGAAGGAAGGAAGGAAGGAAGGAAGGAAGGAAGGAAGGAAGGGAAAAAGAAAAAGAAAAAGAAAAAGAAAAAGAAAAAGAAAAAGAAAAAGAAAAAGAAAAAGAAAAAGAAAAAGAAAAAGAAAAAGAAAAAGAAAAAGAGAAAGAGAAAGAAAAAGAAAAAAGAGAAAGAAAAAGAAAAAGAAAAAAAAAGAGAAAAAACCCUAAAAAACGGGGACUGCCUUGAAGUCCCCAACGCGCCGAUGGAUGUUUGUGCCGGAGCCAGCGGUGCCACCGAGCGCUCCCCCAUCCCCGCGCUGUUCCGGAGGGAAGAGGAAGGGGGGGAGGGGGGCUGAGGGCAGGACCCCCCCCCCGCCCCGGGCUGUGCCUUCCACUCUGUUUGUUUGUUUUCACCAAAAUAAAUAAAUAACAACGCGGAUUUGUUUAUAAAAUUGACUCGUGCCCCUCUGAAACAAAUUGUUAUUAACCUUCCCCUUCUGAGCGUUUCAUAAUCACAGAUG